GUUGACCUCGGAUCAGGUAGGAAUACCCGCUGAACUUAAGCAUAUCAAUAAGCGGAGGAAAAGAAACCAACAGGGAUUGCCCUA
rnacentral:rRNA from 2 species